AGAACUCUAUAGGGCUUAUAUGGGGCCGUCUUUGGAGGAAAAUAACUUCGAAAUUUUGAUAGUUUCACUAAAUUCAUUUCAUUCCUAGCACUCUUAUGAUAAGCAUAUAUUUUUUUUUUGUUUUUCUACUUUUUAAAGGAUUUCCCCUCUUUACUUUUUUCUAUUAUUUUUUCUAAUCACUUUUCACACUAGAUUUUUUUUUGUUUAUUUAUUGAGUUACCCAUGCCGUAGCCAUAUCUAUUAAUUUUGCUUUUGCCAUUUUCUGUCCCCGUUUCCAUACUCUUUUCUAGUUCUCGUACUCAUUUUAGGGCUACUUGAAACUCUUUAGUUGACAAUGAAAUGAC
rnacentral:lncRNA from 1 species